CCACAUCACGUUGAAACACCAGUUUUCGUACAAUCACCGAAGUUAAGCAACAUUAAGCCUGGUCAAUACCUAAAUGGGUGACUUCUUGGGAAUACCACGUACUGUAAG